UGGGUUCAGCCAAGUUUGGCAGCAUGCCUGAAAAGGGCGUGUGCGCUGGUGCAAAUCCAGCCAACCCAGCCA
rnacentral:tRNA from 1 species